CCUACGGGGGGCAGCAGUGGGGAAUAUUGGACAAUGGGGGGAACCCUGAUCCAGCCAUGCCGCGUGUGUGAAGAAGGCCCUCGGGUUGUAAAGCACUUUCAGUGAGGAAGAACGCCUGGUGGUUAAUACCCAUCAGGAAAGACAUCACUCACAGAAGAAGCACCGGCUAACUCCGUGCCAGCAGCCGCGGUAAUACGGAGGGUGCGAGCGUUAAUCGGAAUUACUGGGCGUAAAGCGCGCGUAGGUGGCUUGAUAAGCCGGUUGUGAAAGCCCCGGGCUCAACCUGGGAACGGCAUCCGGAACUGUCAAGCUAGAGUGCAGGAGAGGAAGGUAGAAUUCCCGGUGUAGCGGUGAAAUGCGUAGAGAUCGGGAGGAAUACCAGUGGCGAAGGCGGCCUUCUGGACUCACACUGACACUGAGGUGCGAAAGCGUGGGUAGCAAACAGGAUUAGAUACCCGGGUAGUC
rnacentral:rRNA from 1 species